rnacentral:rRNA from 1 species
CGUAGGUCCCGAGCGUUGUCCGGAUUUAUUGGGCGUAAAGACGAGCGCAGGCGGUUAGAUAAGUCUGAAGUUAAAGGACUGUGGCUUAACCAUAGUACGCUUUGGAAACUGUUUAACUUGAGUGCAAGAGGGGAGAGUGGAAUUCCAUGUGUAGCGGUGAAAUGCGUAGAUAUAUGGAGGAACACCGGUGGCGAAAAGCGGCUCUCUGGCUUGUAACUGACGCUGAGGCUCGAAAGCGUGGGGAGCAAACAGGAUU